CCUCAAAAUAUACUAUUAUAUUAUUCACUGCUGAAGAUAAGUUAAAUGGUAGUCAGUCAAGAAGUUUUCUGGGAGAAAGCGAUGAGCUUCAGGAACUUAUCAACAUCUGUGGAUUUAGAAAUCACUCUCUCAACAACCAGACCAAAGAUCGCUUUCAGGUCACAGAGCUGCUGAGGAAGACAAAACAGAUGGUGGAGGGGAAUGGAGGACAGUACUAAACCAGUGAUAUGAUAGAGGAGAUGGUGGAAUGGAGGACAGUACUAAACCAGUGAUAUGAUAGAGGAGAUGGUAGAGGGGAAUGGAGGACAGUACUACUCCAGUGAUAUGAUAGAGGAGAUGGUGGAAUGGAGGACAGUACUAAACCAGUGAUAUGAUAGAGGUGAUGGUGGAAUGGAGGACAGUACUAUACCAGUGAUAUGAUAGAGGAGAUGGUGGAAUGGAGGACAGUACUAAACCAGUGAUAUGAUGGAGGAGAUGGUGGAGGAGAAUGGAGGACAGUACUAAACCAGUGAUAUGAUAGAGGAGAUGGUGGAAUGGAGGACAGUACUAAACCAGUGAUAUGAUGGAGGAGAUGGUGGAGGAGAAUGGAGGACAGUACUAAACCAGUGAUAUGAUAGAGGAGAUGGUAGAAUGGAGGACAGUACUAAAACAGUGAGAUGGAGAGGUGAUGGGGGAGGGGAAUGGAGGUCAGUACUACAACGUUGAG
ensembl:lncRNA